GACGCUGGCGGCGGGCCUUAUGCAUGCAAGUCGAACGCACUCGACCUUCGGGUCAUAUGAGUGAGUGGCGAACGGGUGAGUAACACGUGAGAAACCUGCCCCGAAGACUGGAAUAACCCGGGGAAACUCGGGCUAAUACCGGAUACCCCCAACUAAUCGCAUGGUUAGUUGAGGAAAUGCUCCGGCGCUUCGGGAGGGUCUCGCGGCCUAUCAGCUAGUUGGUGAGGUAACGGCUCACCAAGGCAACGACGGGUAGCUGGUCUGAGAGGACGAUCAGCCACACUGGGACUGAGACACGGCCCAGACUCCUACGGGAGGCAGCAGCAGGGAAUCUUGCGCAAUGGGCGAAAGCCUGACGCAGCCACGCCGCGUGAGGGAUGAAGGCUCUAGGGUCGUAAACCUCUUUCAGCAGGGAAGAAAAUGACGGUACCUGCAGAAGAAGCUCCGGCCAACUACGUGCCAGCAGCCGCGGUAACACGUAGGGAGCGAGCGUUGUCCGGAUUUAUUGGGCGUAAAGAGCUCGUAGGCUGUUCAGUAAGUCAGGUGUGAAAACUCGAGGCUCAACCUCGAGACGCCACCUGAAACUGCUGUGACUAGAGUCCGGUAGGGGAGUGUGGAAUUCCUGGUGUAGCGGUGAAAUGCGCAGAUAUCAGGAGGAACACCAGCAGCGAAGGCGGCACUCUGGGCCGGUACUGACGCUCAGGAGCGAAAGCAUGGGGAGCGAACAGGAUUAGAUACCCUGGUAGUCCAUGCCGUAAACGUUGGGCACUAGGUGUGGGAUUUAACUAACAAAUUCCGUGCCGUAGCUAACGCAUUAAGUGCCCCGCCUGGGGAGUACGGCCGC
rnacentral:rRNA from 1 species